GGGCGCUUGAAGCUUUCUGCUUCAGGCCCUGGGUGGGAAGCAGAAAGAAGAAAGCCCCAAACUGACUCUUAAUCAGAAUGAGGCUUCACCAUACUGCAUCAACACCAGCAUGGUAGCCUCUUAACCGCAGAAAUGCAACGGAGGGCUGACAUG
rnacentral:antisense_RNA from 18 species